GGAUAAUCUACCCUUAGGACCGGGAUAACCCUGGGAAACUGGGGAUAAUACUGGAUAGGCAAUUAUUCCUGUAAUGGUUUUUUGUUUAAAUGUUUUUUCGCCUAAGGAUGAGUCUGCGGCCGAUUAGGUAGUUGGUUAGGUAAUGGCUUACCAAGCCGUUGAUCGGUACGGGUUGUGAGAGCAAGAGCCCGGAGAUGGAACCUGAGACAAGGUUCCAGGCCCUACGGGGUGCAGCAGGCGCGAAACCUCCGCAAUGUGAGAAAUCGCGACGGGGGGAUCCCAAGUGCCAUUCUUAACGGGAUGGCUUUUCAUUAGUGUAAAGAGCUUUUGGAAUAAGAGCUGGGCAAGACCGGUGCCAGCCGCCGCGGUAACACCGGCAGCUCUAGUGGUAACAAUUUUUAUUGGGCCUAAAGCGUCCGUAGCCGGUUUAAUAAGUCUCUGGUGAAAUCCUGCAGCUUAACUGUGGGAAUUGCUGGAGAUACUAUUAGACUUGAGACCGGGAGAGGUUAGAGGUACUCCCAGGGUAGAGGUGAAAUUCUGUAAUCCUGGGAGGACCGCCUGUUGCGAAGGCGUCUAACUGGAACGGUUCUGACGGUGAGGGACGAAAGUUAGGGGCGCGAACCGGAUUAGAUACCCGGGUAGUCCUAACUGUAAACGAUGCGGACUUGGUGU
rnacentral:rRNA from 1 species